GUGCGUGCAGGUGCAGUUGCCGGUGCAGGGCGCGUGAUGUGUUGCUUCGUUGGCGCAGGUGCCGCGCGCCGCGCCUCCCUCAGGUAUAAAUGCCGCAUCGUCCCCCGCAGUUUUUUGAAUUUGAUUCUUAGCGACACACGAAUAGGGCCCUGCACGGAGAGAGACGGAGGAAAGAAAACACAACACCAAGCUGCAUCGGCAGGCCAUCCGGCGACGUGGGACUCGCUGCUGUGAGUACUUCGCGACCGAUCGGAGUCGAUGGGCAGCACGGCGGUGAACUCCGACUACGGCGCGACGCGCGAGCUGUCCGCCCUCCAGAAGGAGCGCGCGCUCUAUCGCCCUGAGCUGCCGCCCACCAACCUCCGAUCCCUGCCAACUUUUGGCCGCGCCGAAUCCCCGGGUUCAAUCGGAUCAGCGCCGCCACGACAUAUGCCCUGCCCGAUUCCUUGUCACAGCGCUUUAAUUUCUCCGGCCGGAUCGAUCUUGUCGACGGGCUGGGUGGGGGUACUAGUCAGUGCGCACAGUGGCUAGGGUGAUUCAACGGGUCGUUUUCUUUCAUUACUACAACUUUUGGUGAAUCUCUUUUUGCGUGUCUGCAUGGGAACCAGGGAACCGCGGUGAGGGUGGAGUACGGCGACGCGACGAUCGCGGCCGACGGUGCGGACGCGCAUGUGAUCGGCAACGCGUUCCCCCACACCUACGGCCAGCCGCUGGCGCAUUUCCUCCCGGAGGCGGCCAAUGCGGCGGACGCUGCAAUCAUAACAGAGCACCCUGUCGUCAGGUAAACAUGUUCUAGACACGUUAUUUUUAGGGGGGGGGGGGGGGGGGGGGGGGGGGGGGGGAUUUCUAGAUACGUUCAAAUUUGUGCUGGUAUCUAAUCCCCAUGUACAGUUUUCUUACGUCUCGAGUAGAAGCUGUAGACUGUCGAUAUAUUGUUUACGUUUCAAUGUUUUACUAUUUCAAACAAGUUUUAUCUCAUGAAUUUAAUUCUCCAACAUUUAUCUCAUGAAUUUUGACCGUGCCGGUGACUGCUGCAAAGUUUUUGCAGUCCAUUGCAUAUACAUCUCAUAUUUAGUUGAGGCAAUAUGAUAUUUUGAAAAGAGGACGAGAGAUACGUCAAUAGUAUUAAGUACUCCCUCAGAUCCAUAGUAACUGUCGGAAAUUUAGUACAAAAUAACUUUGCACUAAAUUUUCGACACUUAUUAUGGAUCGGAAGGAGUACUAUUCAUUGAAACUCUUGCUUUUAUAGGAGACAGAUGAAAUCUUUUCGAGCAAAAAAAAGAGACAAAUGAAUUGAUCACAACUUUCAUAAAAUUAUGAUUGUUUUCAAAUCAUAGAGCAUACUGUAUUCAUUAAAUUUUCCUCGUAUAUUCUCAAAACUCGUACGUUAACAAACAUGAGAUGAAGAUGUAAUGAGUUAUGGAUGUGAAUGCUCAUAAUAAAGUUGCUACUUUGUACCAUAAGAACAGCUUGAAGUUUACACUAAACAUCAAUACUAUGCAUUCCAGCAUUAUCAUAUUUUACCAUUAGCCGGUAAUUCAGAAAGAGAGCGAAAUGCAAACAUGUGUGAUAAUCGCAAACAGUAGUAUGGUAAUAAAUUCUUGCUAUUAGAUAGAGCUCGAUGGGAUCAGCCAUCCAUAAAUUCAUUCGGUAGUUGGCUCUGAAAAUUGUCCUGAGAUGUCCACAUAUUUUCCUGUCAUAUUUUUUAGUAACCUGGAGCCCGUACAUCCUUUAUUAACUUGAAUGCUCAACAAUUGCUCAACAAUUCCGAGAUGCAGGGUUGGUGUCGUCUUCAGUGGUAGACAGUCCCCAGGUGGGCACAAUGUUAUAUGGGGACUCCAUGAUGCUUUAAGUGCUCACAACCCAAGUAGCAAGCUUAUUGGUUUUCUUGGUGAGUGGAUGGGUUUAUUGAAGAAAUCAAUUAUGGUUCAGUUAAUGGAUUUGUAGCUUUUGUUAACUUUUGGAGAGAGGGACAAAUGAUUUUCUUGUGUUGACUUGAGGCCCAAACGGCUAUAUAUACUCCCUCCGUCCAACAAAACAUGUCUCAAGUUGGUCAAAAUUUGGAUGUAUCUAGACAUGACUUAGUGUAUAGAUGCAUUCAAAUUUAAUUGAAGUUGAGACAUCUUUUAUUGGAAGGAAGGAGUACUACAAAUGAAGACUAGUCCUAAACUAGUGUGGAAUACCACACGCACUCUAAUACACACAUAACAAUUUGGGUAUUGCCUCGUACUUUCGGGUACCUACCCUUACAUAUUCGGACAGCACCUUCACACACUUGGGUGCUAUCCUCACACGACGGUCGAGUGCCCGCUCACAUACCCUUAAACCCCCCCCCCCCCCCCCAAACUCAAGGAGGGUGAAGGAUAAAAGAGCCUUGAGUUUGAAAGAGAGGGAAAGGAACAACUGCUAAAAAAAGGUCCAAGUCUUGAAAUCUUCAUCUAGAUGUAAUGCCCCGAAACAAAAUAUGUUGAUGCAGCAACAAACUCCUCCACAAUGGUAAUUUAAAGCCUUCACAAAUUGUACUUCAGCUCUUCACACACAACUUGGCUUGGAGAUGUUAAGACCAACAAGAACAUGGAAGGCUUGUCAAAUCAGCCGAUGAGAGGUAGGGACUCAAUGAGUCAAGAAGAAAUGGCCAACCCGUCCAGAAAUCGUGAAGAUGGCGAUAUAAUAUUCUAUUGAGUUGGAGGGAAGAGGAGAGAGCAGGAGUGGGUUGUUAACUAGUAGCCAGCUGGAGAACCAAGCAUAGCUUGGGCCAGCCAGGUGUGCUGGCAGCCCACCAGAGUUCGAUCCUCAAAGGUCGCAAUUCAGUGUCUCACUUUGUAAAAAUUAUAUAUCUAUAUACUGUCGGACUGCAAUCGCGCAGCUCUUACAGUUUAAAGUAAAAAAAAACUAGUAGCCAGCUGCAACACAUGCGGCUAGGCAUUCUGAGACUGCAAAGUAGUACAUUUUUAUAACCAACUAUUAUACAUGCUAGCUAUUGUUUUAGUUAAAGAUGAAAUGGCAAAACCUUACAGCCAGCAGCAGGCUCCACCUUCACAUAGCUGAUGUAUUUAAUUUCAUCAUUAAUUCAACCCUCCCCUCUCUCCUCAGCUACACUUGCUUCACCCAAUAGGAUGGCAGCAUUAAUAUUCUUUGCAUAGGGAAAGUAAGAGAUGUUAACUAUAGAACGAUUAGUUAGGCUUUGGCAAUCCAAAUGGAAAGAUAUGGGAGAAAACUUUUAUAUCUACAUGAACAGAUAUAAAGAAAUGAAGGGAUUAAUGAUGAAAAACACAGAAACGAAAGUGUAACGCACAGAUAUAAUGAUUCCUUCCAGAAAACAAAGUUAUUCAAGUUUGGAAAAUCACAGAGGAAGUUCUUUCUGUCUAUCAAUGCAUCGAGACUCAAAAGCUUUGGAAAUCAAAGAGGAAGUUAUCUGUGCUUAUUUUACUGAUGUAUUUCUUUUUUUUGUGUGUUAAAACAGGAGGAACUGAUGGCUUGUUUGCGCAGAAAACUUUGGAAAUCACAGAGGAAGUUCUUUCUUCCUAUAAAAAUCAAGGUGGUUAUGAUAUGAUUGGUCGGACAAGGGAUCAAAUCAGAACAACUGAACAAGUAAAGGCAGCGAUGACUACUUGCCAGACUUUGAUGUUGGAUGCUCUUGUAAUAAUUGGAGGUAUUAUUCUGUUAUGAUAAUCUUCUGAGUUUUAGCUUUAGUUUUGAUACAUGUUCUGAAAGUCUUCUGUGCUUUUUGUCAGGUGUCACAUCCAACACGGAUGCUGCUCAGCUUGCUGAGACUUUUGCCGAGUCAAAGUGUUCAACAAAGGUGUCAGAAAAUUGUUUAAAAUUCUAGAUCCUCGAAUCUAAAUUCCUUAUAUAUGUUGGUCCACAUUCCUUAUAAUGCAAAUAGCCUGAGACAGAUUAUUUCUAAACAGAUAGUUGGUGUUCCUGUAACUCUGAAUGGGGACCUGAAGAACCAGUUUGUCGAGACAACUGUUGGUUUUGAUACGAUAUGCAAGGUAAAGAACUGUUAUGUCAUACUAUUGAGUCGCUCCCUUCUUCUUUCCAUAGCUUAAUGUUAUUUAGUAUUUACUACUACCAUUUUAUUGAUGCACUAUCUGCCUACGAUCAUUGACCCGGGAUAAGUCGCGUUUUGGUAAUCUUCUUGUGGAAGCCAACUGUUUUUGGUUUUCAUUAGUGAAGAGGGAGUGCAAUAGAGUUGCUCAUGAACUUGCUCAAUUAGCUAAGUGUGGUGCGACUUGAUGCUAGGAUCAUAUAUCACUACUUCUCUUAAUUAUGCUAACAUGAUACCAUGGUUUCGUCAUUUACAAUCUGAACUUUUACCUUCCUAACAGGUGAACUCGCAGCUCAUAAGUAAUAUCUGCACUGAUGCUCUUUCUGCUGAGAAGGUAAAACAUAUGGAUGGUCAACUUACACCUUAAUAUAUUGCUGGAUUCCAAAAUACUAAUUCAGAUCAAAAGAAAACCAUCCUUCUCCUUUCUAAAUACUACAGACCCUGUUACUGUUUCAGGCUCAUACCUCGCAACUUUGUCUUCAUUUUAUAAGGAUGCCCUGAAUUCCCUACAUUAUCUCUGAAUUUUGACACGAAUAAAAUUCACGUACACAUUGUAAAUUAUUAUCUCCCUCAAAACUUAAUUAUGUUUUUCCGGCAGUAUUACUAUUUCAUUCGGUUGAUGGGGCGGAAAGCAUCUCAUGUGGCAUUGGAAUGUGCUCUUGAGUCACAUCCAAAUAUGGUUAGGAAACCUCCUUUUAUUUUGUACUGACCUGGUUGAUCGACACUACAAACUUACUCAUUUUAAUCUGACUUAAUAAUGUCAGGUUAUUCUAGGCGAGGAGGUUGCUGCAUCAAAACUUACAAUUUCUGAUAUCACAAAGCAGAUAUGUGAUGCUGUCCAGGCAAGGGCUGAAAAUGGUAGGGAUUAUGUGGUUCUUACAAACUCUGUAUUGUAGUGUCACGUCAGUAUUCAUAUUACUGGUGCACAUAAAUUAUCAUGCAGUUGCACUUAUUCCUGAUGAUCAUAAUAUCUUGUGCAGAUAAGUACCAUGGCGUUAUGCUUAUUCCUGAGGGCCUUGUUGAGAGCAUUCCUGAACUGUACGCUUUGCUUCAGGUCAGUAUGACCACCUGAACAAAUGGUGUCUCUUGAAAGGUGUACUGAGCUUAGUUUGUUUCUGUAGGAAAUUCAUGGGUUACAUGAUAAAGGUGUUUCCGUUGAGAGCAUCUCUUCUCAUCUUUCGCCUUGGGCUUCUGCCCUAUUCAACUUUUUGCCUCAAUUUAUUAGGAAACAGGUUAGUAUUAAUUUUUUUCUUUACAUUCAUAAUUCCAUUAUCUGGAAAAGAUUUUGUUGCAUUAUUUUUUGCAUCUGUCGUGCAGCUCCUCCUCCAUCCAGAAUCUGACGACUCUGCUCAGCUUUCUCAGGUACUGUAGAAUUCAAUCUGUAAUUUUACCUCAUCCUUUUUUGUUUCACAUUUGUUCAGACAACAAUUUCUGUAUAUUCCAGAUUGAGAUCGAGAAGCUUCUAGCCCAGCUAGUUGAGACAGAAAUCAACAAACGGCUGGUGAGCAUGGUGUAGAUAUCCCAUCAAUGAUGACUAAUACGUAUGGAUUUUAAGUUCACUUUUACAAUCUUGGAUUUUUGGUUUAUUCAGGAGGAAGGCACUUACAAAGGAAAGAAGUUCAAUGCAAUUUGCCACUUUUUUGGUUACCAAGCUAGAGGUGCCCUGCCCUCAAAGUUCGAUUGCGAUUACGCCUAUGUAAAUUCGACUUCACUUCUCUAUCUUAUGAUCCAUCUGGUUAUUCUACUUAAUGACCUCUUAGUUGUUUGGUUCCAGGUUCUCGGUCAUGUAUGCUAUCAUAUCUUAGCUGCUGGUCUGAAUGGCUACAUGGCCACUGUGACAAAUCUUAAAAAUCACCUGGUCAGGUGGAAAUGUGGAGCUGCUCCUAUUACGGUCAGCAUUGCAUUUAUUUCUACAAUUUCACGAUAAUAUUCCUUUAAAAUUAACAAAAUCAUCUGAUACAAGUUUAUGUUAAUGCAAAAUAAAUCAUAACCAUUUCUGCAUUUCCUUAUGACCAGUCUAUGAUGACUGUAAAGGGUUGGUCGCGUGGUCCUGCUGCCACUCAAAUUGGGAAGCCAGCUGUUCACAUGGCGAGCGUGGAUUUGAAAGGAAAAGCAUACGAGUAUGUCAAUAUGUAGUCUGAUAUUUAAGAAGCAUCUUAUUAACUCACUGCAGUCAAAUUAUUUUUAUAUUCAACCAUUUGUUUCUAGUGAAACUUCUCUCUGUUCCACUUAAUAAAUCAUAGACAAGGAGACAUGUUCGUGUAUUUACCAAAGAAAUUGUCUUGUACCUUACAGGUUGUUGAGGCAAAACUCGUCCAGCUUCUUAAUGGAAGACAUCUAUAAGAACCCUGGACCACUGCAAUUUGAAGGACCGGGUGCGGAGGCAAAGCCUAUUUCAUUGUGUGUCGAAGAUCGGGACUACAUGGGAAGGAUCAAACAGCUGCAGGAGUAUUUGGAGAAGGUAAGCACUUGAAUUAACCACCUUGUUAUGUAUACGACUACUAAUACUAAGCCCGUUGGUUGUCAUUGUGCUUGUUUGCAUGUCAUGUAGGUGAAAUGCAUCGUGAAGCCCGGGUGCUCGCAGGAUGUCCUCAAAGCUGCACUGAGCGCCAUGGCACAUGUGAUUGAGUUGCUCACUAUCAUGUCUUCUCCCUCAUACAGUGGCCAGGCGGCAACCAUCUGAGAGCAAAUUCGAAGCACUUUAUAUUUUUUGGUCGGCCAUAGAAACCGCGAUCUUGAUAGGUUAUCUGUCCAUCUUCUAAUUUCGUCCUGGUUCUUUAGAAUGGAAAGUGUGGGAGUUUUUUUCUUUUUUUUUGAGGAAUGCCAUUUGGCAAUUUAUCUGAUAAAAUAUUCUCAUCGUUCACCAACAUGCCCAUAAUAAAACUAGGGAUUUCAUCGACUCAAAUACAGGAAUUACCAGACUUAAAAGCAUCCCUGGCAAGCUCAUGAGCUACCUGAUUAGCCUCCGUAUUACAAUGCUCUAAAGAAGAUACAUUAUCAAACCCACUCCGUAAGACGAGUCUUCAUAAAUGGUAGCCGAUGACGGUGGAGAGAGAACCUUCUCCAUCCAUCGUAGUACCGAUAUGGAAUUAUUGCAUUUGCCAUGAAUUUUCUGCAAUCCAAAAACUCAUAUGAAAGAUGCACACAAUUUCUAGAACAUGCCUUGAAACACAAGGAGUCAGAGAAGCCCCCAAUGGCAUGGGCAGUUGGCCGUGGCGUUUUGCUAGGGCGCCACGCCAAACCGUCUGGGCCACUGGUAGCUCACGUGCCAGCGAUUAUCUUAUAACCUAGGUAUGCGGCAAAUCUAAAAUAUAAAUUUAAAUGUCCUGAAUAUUUUUGUUAGCUUCUCAUGCAUUUGUAUGAUGUACCGUACCAAACUACCUCUACCAUUGGACAUUAUUAUUCUUUAAAAGUCAUAAUUCUAUUGCUCACCCCGUGGUGCAAAUUUGGUUUUUUUUUUUCGAGAAGGCUGAGGCCAUAUAUUAAAAUCAAGAGUAAAUAUCACAAAACUCUUAGUUUCUGACGAACUGUAUCACAAAAGCACACCUUUUCGUUUUCUUUUCACUUAACCCGUAUUUUUGGACUAAUUCGUAUCUCACAACCUGUAAUUUUGCUGUCAACGCUGCUAAUAGGGAAACUGCCAUGGGGGCCCACCUGUCGGCCUCUGAAGUGAAAUCUUACUUACCUUAGUAACACCUGCCCUGCCCCAAGCCCCUCCCGCGGGUCUUCUUCCCCAAGACCGGCGGAGCGCCGCCCGCGCCAAUCGCCCUCAUCCUCGGCUGCCCCGAGCGCCCCCACACCGAGCUCCUCCUCCGCCGACCGCGCCUCGCCGUCGACUCGCCUCAACUGGCUUCCUCUUCCCCGACCGACCCCGCCUACGAAUUCGUGGCGAGCUUCUCCUUCUUUCCCCCUAUUUUCCCCCCUCGGAUCCACCCCCGUAGAGCUCUGCCGUAUUGGACGUCGCCGACGAGUUUCUCCCAUGAGCGUUCUGCUCCCCUGCGCCGUCCAUGGUGAGAGCAUUCCAGCCCAAAUCAGGCCCGCAGCCCGGCCGCACCUGCAGCCCCCUGCCCCGCCCCGCCGCCCUGCUGCCCCGCCGCGCCGCCCGCUCGUCGUCCCGGACGGAGGCAAGGCCACCACCGCCCGUUAGUUUCCCUGUUAGCAUCGUUGACAGCGAGAUUUAGGGUUUUGCGAUACGGUUUAGUCCAAGAAUACGGGUUAAGUGAUAAAAAAAAACAAAAAGUGUAGUUUUGCGAUACAGUUCGUCAGAAACUAGGGGUUUUGUGAUAUUUACUCUAAAAUCAACCAACCCUUACAGAACCAUCUUUAAAAUAAAAGAAAAUUACACACAAGUUCUCGUAGGUAAACAUUGUUGUCUUCCUCCUGCACUCGCCGGUGGCGCGCCGUGAGCGAAACUCGAUGCUUCCUCUGGACCUCCGAACCACGUCGGAGCCAGGAAACCGUUGUUGCCGUAGCAGCCGAAAACUCACUGGUCGAAGCCAGAAGACGCCGGCGACAGUGAUCUGAGAAAUGGACCACCGUCCAGCAGAAGAAGACGAUGAAGAGGGUUGGAUGACCAUCCUAGAUCCGGCCAGAAGACCUGGCCGCACUAACUUCACGAUGAGGUCUAAGCUUGCCGAGUCUCAUUGAUCGGAAAAGGAACCAAUAAAUUGAUACGCGUAGAAGACCUGCAAAGCACAAACACAGAACCAGAUCCACCACUCCAGAAGAGUAGCGACCAAACGUCCCGCACUCCUCGACGCCACCGGCAGGAUCGCCAUCGACGAGGUGGAUGAGGAGUUGAGAAAACCUUAUUAUUAACCCGCACAAUGCCGUCAUCACCACCAUAGCUCGGCUGCCGGUUGACCAAACCCUAAAUUUUGAAGACUACUAAAACACUAAACGUAGGGCCGGCCGACCGGGAGACAAGAUCGAUCUAGAUCCGGCACUGGUGGCGGAUAGGGCAGACGCCUUUUCUCUAUGGGGUUUCAAAUUUGGGAUUUGGUAGCCAGGAGUUGUGUGGCGGCAAAUUCCCGUCUGAUGUAGCCGAGCUGGGUGCUGGUGAUUUUGCCAGAUGCCACGGUGUUUCUUUCAGCAACAACAACAAAAAACAGCAAUCUAGACGUAGUGGCUAGGGACGCGGUGGAGCGGCCGGCCACACGAGUUCGACUCCCAUGGACCGAGUUUUGUGUGUCUCACCCGGGGUUUUAUUCCCUUGUUUUUCUGGCCUCAUACGUUUGUUCUUUAGUGCUAAUGCAACGGGCCCAUUGUCGCUGUGGUGGCUCUGAGAAUUUAGUGUGCCUGUAAUAGGUAUAAAUUGUAGUUCUAGCUUAUGCACUAAGAGUAGUGUGGAGUUUCAGAUACUACAGAAUCAAGCCCUUAAAAAAAGCAAUCUUUGUGUCCUUUUUUUUAGGGGAACUUUGUGUCCUUUUCUUAGAACAAGCGAUCCAUUCUUCUGUGCUUUUGUUUCGAGGGUUCACACAUGGAGGAGCUUUAUGGGCCGGAGGGUUGCUCUUAAGUGCAUUGGCCUGGGCUGUUUGGGCCGGCCCGUUAGCUCCACUCGUUCUUACCUUCGCUGCAAGUAUCCAUUCGUCUCCAGAGUCUGAGAGUCCAGACCUUUAAACCCCGUAAUAAAACCCUAGAGACUUCGCGAGACGCCGGCGUGAAAUCCCCAAAGCAAAACCACAACAAAUCCUGCGCUAUGUCGUCGGGGUCUCUCGCCGUCCGGCUACUCCGCCGCGCCACCUCCUCGUCGCAGCUCUCCACAACACUCACCCGCCGCUGCGCUCACUCCUACGCGGCAUCUCGCCCACCCUCUCCGCUCCCUCGUUUCCACUCCGCCGCCGCCGCCGCUUCCUCUCAUUCCGGGAUCACGAUCCGCCGCUUCUUGUCGUCGCAGUCCCAGGUGUCUUCCUCCAAGGUCUCGGCGGACGAGAACCUGAGGCGGGUCAUCGACUCCGAGAUCGAGUGCGUCGUCGAAUCGGAGGAGGCCUCCGCGCAGGUCUCUUGGCUUCCUUUCCUCUGCAUUUCCUUUCGUUGCUUUGCAAUAAUAGUCCGAUUCCAUUUGUUGGCGGUUGAACGUUAGUCUUAGUUCUCCCUCAUACAGUGCCACAGUGGCCAGGCGGCAAUCAUCUGUGAGCGUUAGUCUUAGUUCUGUGGAGCGCACUUCCACGAACGCAGAAAACGCACACGUAGGCCCAUGAACUCGUGUUAGUGAUACAGAUUAGUCCAACAAUGGUUUAAGAAGGCUAAAAAAGGAAAUGUGGCAUGAUCCUGGACCGCGAUGUAUUACUCUUCUGUGAAUACCGGAAGAACCUUGAUAUCCUGUGUGUGGGGAAAAAAAGAAACAUAAAUUUUUGGCUGGUUACAGUUGGACGCUGAAGUACUCGCGUUAGUACGUUGAUUUAGUUGAGUACUGAUUGAAGGCUGUUAGUCUUUCAUGUGGUGUGACGCUCGAUCAUAUAUUUCUAGAUUGAGUACGGGUGUCACGCCGAGAUGCAAGAAGGUCCUUGGAUGGAGAGUGGGGGGGGAAUUAUCUAGCUUAAGCUAUUACUCCCUCCGUCCCAUAUUAAGUGACUCAAAUUUGUCUAAAUAUGGAUGUAUCUAUAUAUUAAAAUACGUCUAGAUACAUGUAAUAGGAAGUCACUUAAUAUGGGACGGAGGGAGUACAUAAUGAAUGAAUCCCCAAUCUCAUGCCGUCCAGCUGUCAUACAGUGCCUGUGCUCUUUCAGCGAAGUGGGCAGGUCAAUAGUGGGCUUCUCCUUCUCAUUGGCGGCCCAGUGAGCUCGCGCCAGCCUUCUUGCCUUUCUUGCUGCUAAGUUCUUCAGACUCAGUUCCUUCCUCCUCUGUUCAGUACCAAGGAAAGACGUGACAUGUCGGAAAGUAAUACUGCAUGCUAUGCCAGAACCAGGGUUCGUUGCUCCAGCACUUUCGUCCCUCUUCCUUGAGCUGGCCGCAGGGACCCUGUGCUACAUUGUUCACACGCUAUAGUCAGUAAUAGUUGCUGUUCAAGAUAAGGAAACCAGGAACCACACAAAACUUUCAAUUGUAGUGUUUGCGGAGAAAAGAAAGUAAUGAGCUUACUCGUAAAAUAAAGAUUUUUGUAAGAAUCAGCUCGAUAUCCUGGUCUGUGUUCAAAUGCUUAACUUUGAUAGGUCUAGAACAAAAGCUGAAUCUUCAGAGAUGUAAGUACUCAUCUUCUGAUUAUUGAUGAGUCAGUUGUGACAUUACUAGAUGAAGUUCACGAAUAUGUGAAAUGUAUGUCGUUGGUCCCAGUUUUACAGAAAGUUUAUUUUUAUACUGUUGACUAUUAGGUGUGCUCUGAGCAAUGUAGACUAAGCUAUAUAGUGACUAUGAAUAUUGAAUGCUGUGAUGUAAAUGUGGGUAUCAUAGACCGUGAUGUCUGAGACUCAAUACUUUGUUAUGUUAUUAGUUCUUAGCAUCUUGACUAUCUCCUAAUUGGUAAAAAAACUCUUUGAUUUUACUUGAGAAAAAUAUUUUAUGCUGUACACAGUGUUCUCUUGAUUUUUUUUUAAAUGCCUUAACCAUAAUACUUCCCAUUUCAUUUGCAAACAGCAAAUUGAUCCACCAGAAGACUUCCCAUUUGAGAUAAUCGAUAACCCGGGUGAUCAGUCCGUAAUCCUUAAAAGAGAGUUUGCAGGAGAGACUAUUAAAGCUACUGUCUACACAAACUUUGAUGCCGAGGAAGAUUUGAACAAUGAUGACUCUGAUGCUGAGAAGGACGAGGAAUCUUUUAAGCCAGCAAUUCAGAUGGUUGUCACUGUUGAGAAACCAGAAGGCCCAAUCCUGGAGUUCGACUGCAACUUCAAUGAUGAUGAACUGGCAAUUGAGAGUAUGAGGAUGCUGAAUCGUGACAAUAAUGAUGCUGAGAAUGUAUACGAGGGACCACCAUUUUCGUAAGUUCAAGUUUUCUUAUUUACUUUAUAUUGUUCCUUCAAUGUCAACCAUCAUAGUAAGCUUCAAGCAAGAGCUGCUGAAUAGUAAUGAAUGAAAAUAGCAUCCCCUUCAAGGAAGAGCCACAAACUUUCUGCUGUUUAGCCUAAGCUUUGUAUUUCAUUAUUGUGUAUGCUUCUCCCGUUCCUGAUCAUUAUAAUUACUUGAUACUCUUACCUGGAUUACUAAUGUACUAUUACUGCUUCUUACUGUUUUCUUCUGAUCUUAAGUUUCUCAUUUUAAUACUACAGGAUUCUAGACGACAGCUUGCAGAAGUCAUUGCACAGGUAUCUUGAAGUGAGGGGAAUCAAGCACUCACUGCAUGACUGGCUGCACGAGUUCAUGAUGAGCAAGGAUGAGAAGGAGUAUGUUGUUUGGUUGAAGAACAUGAGAGACUUCAUUAGGAAGUGAAUGCCAUUGUCCUUGAUUUUGUUUGGGUAGAAAAACGAGGUUCUGGCACCCACUCUUAUAUCUGGUCAAGGCUAAGCUCUGGCUUUAUGUUUUGCUGGACAGUUAUCUUUAGAGAAGCACUUUUUUUUCUGUUGUACUAGCAUAUCUUUGUCCUAUGAUUCGUCGAUAUAUGGUCAUUCUAUUAAUGUGUUUUCAUUCGUGAGGAUAUUGCUAACCCUUCUAGAAAAAGGAUUAUUUACUGGAAACCUUCUAGAAAAAGGAUUAAUAAGUGACUGAGCUUUGUUACAGUGGUGGGGGUGGUCGAGAAUUUGAGAUAUGAAUAUAUCAUUGCCCUUGCCCAUAGUGGUGUGAAAUUAUUUAUGUUAAACAUGCAUUGUGGCAGGGCAUUUGAUCAUAUGGCCCGUAUUACUUGGGCAUUAAUUUAUGCCACAAUUUUAUUCCUGUUCUUGAUAAUUUGCCCUCUUAAUGUACCUGAAUCAUUUUCCAGGUUCUUUGGCAUGACGACACAUCAUUGUUUCAUGGCCUGGGGCAACAUGAUCGUAUCAUUGUUGGAGCGUGCAAUCCUUUGUUUCUUACCUACUGAUCCACAUGGGGAAAGAGACUGUUGUGUAAGCAAUAGGUUCGUUCUAUCGAUCGGGAUCAGAUGAACGAGGUUCUAAGUUUGACUAAACAAUUGCGAUCCUUACUUCUAGUGGCUACAUUGUCUAUGGACGCAAUGCCCCACUAUUGGCUAGCUUAAGCGUUUACUAAAUUCUUGAUUUCUUCCGAAUCAAGGACGGCGUCUAACCGAACAACGGAUAUACGUUGAAUGUCGUUAUCUAAAAUCUUAUAUCGAGCUGCCUUGUAACAUGUUCCCAAGGCUUAACCGGUUAACCCAGCACCAAAUAUCAAUUCCUUUUGUUUAUUUUUAAAUCUCAAUUCUCUUUACUUUUUAAGUGAGUUCUCUCAAUCUGCUGAACUCUCAGAUCGAAGGCACUUGAAAAUAGUCUACUCCCUCCCACCAGAAUUACUUGUUCCAGAUUUUAGUAUAAACCGUUAGAAUUACUUGUUUCGGAUUUUAGUAUAAAGUUGCAGCGGAGGAAGUAUAAAAAAGACACUUAACAAUAGAACGAAUAUACGCAGUAGUCACUACACGAUCGAAUCAGGAACGCGUGCGAAAGUCCAAGGAUUUUUCUCGUGUGUGUUCUACUUUACCGUUCCCCGUUUCCGGAAUUUCGCCUAUUCCAUUCCCACCGCCGCCCGCCCGGCCGGCUCGCGAGGGACGGUGGUGGGGGCACCUGGCGUCGGCAACCUGACAAGCCCUGCCGCUGGAGCAGCCACGUCGACGGGUGGCGACGCGCACACGACACUGCUCUAGCAUGCUCUACGCCACAAGGAGACAGGAAUCGCCUUUAAAACGCCGGGCACCGCACCGCACAUCCAACGGCUGACGCAGCACCGCACAAGAAACACGAGCGGAAGGAAAGGCAAGCAAGUAGCAGUAGGAAGGAAGCAGCAGCACCUUGCCUGAGUGCCUGACGCAUUUCCCUCUCCCCGUCUCCGCGGCGCGUAAGCAAGCGGCAAGCAAGGAAGGAAAGAAGUAACGCCCGCCCGCCCGCCCGCCGGCCAGCUAGGAAGCGGCGGAGACCGGGAACUUCUUCCUUCAUCCUCGAGCUCCUGCGAUAUGGGCGCGACUGGCACGCUGGCGGCGGCGGCGGCGGCGGCGGGAUCAGAGGAGGAGGAGAAGGUCGAGAUGGAGGGCGGGACGGCGGCGGCCAUGGUGUUCCGCGGCACCAACUACUCGCUGCCGCGGACCAUAGCGGCGCUGGUGCUGUGGCUGGGGGGAAUCCACUUCAACGUCCUCCUCAUCCUCGCCUCGCUCUUCCUCUUCCCGCUCCGCGUCGCCGCCUUGUGCGUUUGUGUCCCACCUUUUUUUUUCAAUUGCUCAAACACCUGCAUUUUGUUUAAGUUUUCUUUCUAGGAGGAGGCAAAAAGGAAUCCCACCCCCACUUCAAAAAUCCCUUUUCUUCUUCUAUUUUAUUCUCCUCGUGUCAAUGGAUGAUUUUGUUUUUUUAUUAAUUCGCGUCACCCUCAUCGGCCUACGCCUUCCUUGAUGCAGGGUGGUGGCGUUGCAGCUCUUCUUCAUGGUCAUCCCCCUCAACGACGAGGACAAAUGGGGCCGCAAAAUCGCCAGGUUCCAUUUCCCUCUUCCGACGGACUUCCUUUUUUCAAUCAUUCCCGAUAGAAUUCGCUCGAAUUUUUCUUGGAUGUUGAAUUGCGUUGUCGUGCAGGUUCAUAUGCAGGUACGCGAUGGGGUAUUUCCCGAUUAGCCUGCAUGUAGAGGACUACGAGGCCUUCGAUCCCAACAGGGCUUACGGUGAGUUCUACCAAAUCUCUUUCCGUUUAUAGAUGCUAUGAUCAUCAUCUCUAGCUCUGGACUAGAUUCCCUAGGCUAAUUCGGUGUCCAUCUGACGACUCCAUACCGACUUUUUGUUGCCGGGGAGGGAACUGCGGAAAGAAAAGAGAAUAGCAGGAAAUCUGUUAUGUUUGUGCUCUACUGAUUGCUGAUAGGUGUGCUUUAUUUGCAGUGUUUGGCUAUGAACCACAUUCUGUGCUGCCCAUUGGCGUCGCCGCCCUUGCUGAUCAUGUUGGGUUUAUGCCUCUGCCUAAACUCAAAGUCCUUGCGAGCAGUGCGGUAAGUCCCCUGAAUUUCCUUGAAGCAUAUAUAUAUGUCCCUGAUUAUUGGAAUUCCGUCAGUUAGUAGUCUGUCUUCCUUAUUCAGUUCGUGGUUCAUUUGUGUUAGGUGUUCUACACCCCGUUCCUGAGGCAAAUAUGGACAUGGUUAGGACUUAUUGCUGCAACAAGGAAGAAUUUCUACUCAUACCUUGGAGCUGGUUAUAGCUGUGUCGUAGUGCCUGGAGGUAUACAGGAGAUUCUUCACAUGGAUCAUGAUUCAGAGGUUUGUGUUUAUGACUUGACAAUGAGUUUGUCUUGUGUCAUCUGUCAGCCAUUGGCUUUCAGCGAGUGGAAGUUAUCUUAUACUCCUAGCUAAAUACGUGCGUUGCUACGGAAAUAAGAAUAUACUACCUCCAUUCCCAAAUGUAAGACGUCCUAGCUUUGUUCUAAGUCAAAAUUCUUUAAGUUUGACCAAGUUUAAAAAACUAUUAACAUCUACAAUACAAAUAAGUAUACCGUGAAAAUAUAUAUCAUGAUAGAUUUAGUAAAGCUAAUUAGAGUUAUAUAUGUUGGUAGAUUUUUCAAUUUACUUGUUAAACUUUAAGAAGUUUGACUUAAGACAAAGCUAUAAUAUAUUAUAUUUAAGAACAAAGGGAGUAUAUUACAUGCAUGAGUUUUUUAAAGAUAUUUAUGUGCUCAUAUUUUCCAGUUUUAAGCUAAAUAAGAAUUCUUUUAGAAAAAUAACAAUUAUUUGCAAAGUAUACAUCAAUCGAAUCAAAUAUAGUCAAAAGAUCACGAUAUAUAUAUGUACCACAUUGAGUAAGUGGCAAUCCAGAUAGGAUGAGUGGAUGACCACCAACUCGAAUUUUUAUAAAUGUGAAUAUAAAGAACUACUGCAGAACCAGAACCAAUCCUUCUGUGUGCUUUGUAGGUUGCUUUCCUUAAAUCAAGAAAAGGGUUUGUCAAGAUAGCUAUGCAGUCUGGCUGCCCUUUAGUCCCUGUUUUCUGCUUUGGACAGGUAACAUUUUAUUGUGUUCAUUGUAGCUUAAAUAUGUGCCACAAACACAAAAAAGCAUCGGCAUACGUUUAGGAUCAUGUCUCCACAAGAUCAACUGUAUUCUUAGAUUCUUAUUGCUUAAUAGUUGCUGAUUAUCUGUUACUGCCAUUUGGUUAGAGCUAUGCUUACAGGUGGUGGAGGCCAGGAGGCAAAUUGUUUGUUAACAUUGCUAGAGCACUUAAAUUUACUCCUAUUAUCUUCUGGGGAAGAUACGGGUAACUCCCUAUCAUAGUAUAUCCUAUCAUAGUAUCUUGUUUUUGGACCAGUUAAUUUAAAUAUGGAUAUAUAUAUGUUUAUUUUCAAUUUUGCUAUGUUGGUUCAAAUGAUUUUUUAUGGUCUACUGGAACAUCUGAAUGCAGGACACCGAUCGCUUUCUCGACACCCAUGCAUGUGGUUGUUGGUAGACCCAUUGAGCUCAAGAAAAAUCCUCUGCCUACCAUUGAUGAGGUGAAAACCCAUAUUGAUAUAACUGUUGUUCAGAAAAGAAUUGUAAAUCAAUUGAAAAUCUAGUAGAAAAAAAGGUUCUUUUAGAAAGAUGCUGAAACCACUACACAUAAAAGAAACUACUCAACAGAAGUCUUGAAAAACAACAUCCCCAGUUCAUAUCUGCUCAUGUUACCCUACCUCGCACAUAAAUCUAUGCUUCUUCUACUGAAAUUAAGCCCUCCUUAAAACGAAAGUGCUUUAAAAAAAUGACUUUCUCAACACCGGCAGUAGUAUUGUGCUAUGAUCUUAUUACCGAAAAAACAAGAUUGUGAAUUGCUCUACUCGUUUUCUGUUUUGAAAACAUGUUUCCCGCUGUCUGACAGAUAAAUGAAGUCCACGGACAAUUCCUCACUGCCUUGCAAGAACUAUUUGAGAAAUACAAGACGAAAACCGGAUAUCCGAGUCUCCAUCUAAGAGUCCUAUGAUGAGGUCGUUGAAAGCUCAAGUUUGGGGUUCAGCAAUCGUGGCUCUACGCUGUGCGGUCACAGUAGUUCAACGACGCUACUCGUUCAGGUUGCCGUGUGUUCGAUCAUUGUACGAAACUAUAGUGUGUUGUUGUACAACGGCCGAGUUCCAAGCUGUAGCUAGGGGCACCUGUUGAUGAUCAUAGGGCGCAUCCGAUGUAAAAGAAAUUGUCACUGGUUGCUCAUAAUUGCUAGUAUACCUUCACAGGAAAAUCUUGGGCCGGACUUUGCUUAGUUUGGAUGACUCUAAUUCUGCAACGCUUUGCAGGUGUAAGCAUACUAUCAAACUCGCACGUGGCGCCGAUAGUGAACAUGCUCGGAUGCUGUCGUUUGUUACUCCAACUUGAUAACCGCACAAUGAUCAAGAUAAGAUAUAUGGAAUAUAAGGUAGCGUUUGGUCACAAAGCAACGUGGAAUUAAAUAGAAUGUGGUUUUACUCUUAUAAAAAUUAAAUGCAAUGAAACAAUUCUACUUUCAUAUAUUCAAUACUAAACACCUAGAAACACCGGUUCCACUUAGAAUCAAAUGAUUCUCCAGUAUAUUGGGAGAAUAUUCCUCUUCGAGAAACCAUAUAAUUUGAUUCCAGUUAUUUAUAUAUUAGGAAUCAAAUGCAAGAAUCAAAUCUGAAAGGUUUCCACUACAUUACACCAUGUUCUAGCAACCAAACACUACCUAAUAGAACAGGAGAAAAUCCAAUUUUCAAGGAAACUAAACAUAUAAAAACCAACUGAUCCUCGAGCUGCUAUCACAAACUCGUCUCUUAAUCGUGCCAAACCUUGAGAAUCUUGCGUCACGUUUAACCCUAUAAAUCCUCAUUAGCCACACACGGCGAUUGAAUUUAUCAGCUUAAAACAUUUCAUGAUGCCCCUAAAACAUUUCAUGAUGCCCCUACGCCUACACGUGGCAAUGCAUUAUCCAUAUCUAUGACCUAUUAGGCUCCCACCAUCGUGGAUUAUCUCACUUACUACGUGGCAGUGACCCAAAAUCAUCACGCAGUAUGUCACAGGAUCCUUGCCGCUAGGCUCCACCAGUGAGUAGCAACAUCAAAACUAAACGGAGAUGCAAGAAUAAGUUAGUUGUAUAAUUAAACAAAACUAACCCUUUUUUACACACCCGUACACAGUUUACAUCAUCAGAGAGAUAAAAACAUCGCUGGUUCUUAAAACGUCUAUAUAGUUUACCUGAAAAAUAGUUUUGUUGUUUAGAUUUCCUCCAGGAAAAAUAGAUACCUUAAAAGAGUACCGUGUUUUAAAAAAAAUGAGUUCGUGCUGGAAUUUGAACAGAUAUUCAUCAUCUUCAUAGUUCAUCAUCAUAAAAAAGGACAUUCAUAAAUAAGUUCAUAAUUUUCAUACUAACUUAACCUAGCUAAACCUAAUGUGGCGUCGCCGGUGAGGUCAGCACCUCAGUUUAUGGGCUGUCUCAUCGUCGGCGGCGGAUUGGGGGCAGUUUCACGGACAACAUGCGGUGCCCUCUUUGCACACAACCUGUAAACUUUUACGGGUCAUAUAAGGAAUCCGCUAGAGAUGCUCUAACAUAACAUAUGGUACUCGCCGAACUACACAAAUCAUAUGCGCAUCUAACUCCAUCCUAUCGUCCUACAUGGCUAGUUUAUUAGAUAAAGCUCUUCUUCUUCAUAUACAAAAGAAAAAACUAAAAUACACCAAAAGAACAAUCUGUCUAUGCAUGAGGUUAAUUCGCUCACUAUUGUCGAGCGUUCCUCGAUUUUCUUGUUCAGAAGACUAUAAUUCAUUCCAGACAAGGUGUUGGCAGAGGGACCCUAUGUCCCCUUUGCUCUUUGAUCUAGCUGCUGAUGCCCUGGCUAUUUUGUUGGAAAAUGCUAAGAAGGCUGGGUUGGUUAGAGGUGUAAUUCCUGAACUAAUUGUGGGAGGGAUAAAUAUAUUAUAGUAUGCUGAUGAUACUGUAUUUAUGCUUCCCGAUGAUAUUGACAGUGCAAAGAAUCUGAAAUUUAUUCUUUGUGCUUUUGAACAAAUGUCAGGGUUAAAAGUUAACUUUCACAAUAGCGAACUGUAUUGUUUUGGGGAAGCUGCCUCCAAAUCAAAUACAUUGAGCAGUAUUUUUUCUUGUAAACAGGGGGAGCUUCCACUGACUUAUUUGGGUAUCCUAGUGGAUGCUAUCCGGAUUAGAAAUAAACACUGCAAAAGAAUUGAGAAUAAGGUGGAGAAUAGAUUAAGCUGCUGCCAAGGGAGGAUUUUAUCUGUGUGUGUGCGGGGGUGGGGGGGGGGGCGAUUAGUUCCUGUUUAAGUAGUAUCUCUCUCUAUAUGAUGUUUUUCUAUGAGCUUCCUGUAGGGGUUCGUAAGAGAAUUGAUUUCUAUCGUGCUAGGAUGCUUUGGCAAGAAGAGGAAGAGAUUAACAAUAUCACCUAGUGGCUUGGAAGAAGGUGUGCAUGCUUAAAGAACAGGGUGGGCUGAGCAUUUUAGACUUGGGUAUCAUGAACCAAGCUUUGUUGGGGACGUGGAUUUGGAAACUUUUUAAUACUAAUGGUUUAUGGCAGAGGGUGCUACAAGCUAGAUAUGUUGGGGAAAAUUGUCUUGGGAGUAUUAAGCAUAGAACUGGGGAUUUUAUGUUUUGGAGUGGCUUGCUACAUAGUAAGAAGAAAUUCCUGUCUUUGUGCAAGUUCUUUAUUGGGAAUGGCAGAAAAGUUAGAUUCUGGGAAGAUAGGUGGAUUGGGAAUACACCUUUGAAGUUGCAAUUCCCAAAUCUUUAUGAGAAUUGUUUCAGUUGCUAAUGUGGUUUCAAAGUAGGGGAGUAGUGUUUGCCUUAGGCGCACUUUGUGGGGGAGAUCUGUUUCUUGAUUGGCAGAAAAUUUUGAAUUCUUGUAAAAUGUGAAGCUUACUGAGAUUGAGGAUAAGCUUGGUGGAGAUUGACACCAAAUGGAAAACUCUCUGUUAGUUCUUUCUACAGAGAGUUGAUGUGGCAGAAUAUUGACUUUCCUCAAAAAUUUGUUUGGAAAAUUAAAAUUCCUCUAAAAAUAAGGAUCUUCCUUUGGUUGAUUACCCAUGGAAGUAUCCACACUAAAGAUGUGCUGCAGCAUAAAGGAUGUAAAGGAAACACUCAGUGUCACUUUUGUGAUCAACAGGAAACAAUAGACCAUUUGUUUCUGCACUGUCCUCUAGCUCACUUUCUGUAGGGGAUGGUGAGAUGCGCUUUUGAUUUGCCUAGUCUGCUAGAUACUGUCUCGUCGUUGUGGGAGACCUGGUUACUUCGUUUUCAUGGACAAAUGAAGAAGCUAGUGAUGGUUGGGUUGCGGGUCUGCUCUGAGUUACCUGGAAUAACAGAAACUACGAGUGCUUUCGUAAAGUGCAGUUAACUUGUCCAUUUGGGGUGGUGAAGCAACUGUGCUAUUGGCUGAACUUGUGGUCUCUAUUAUAGGCAAAGGAAGCAAACCAAAGUCUACUGCAAUGAGGGACAAGACUGGUUGAACAAGUUGCCAGAGAAGUGUUUGAGCCGUCAAGGGGAUGGCACCCUCUACGAUGACGUUUAGAAGACUGAGCAUCUCUGUGACUGUCACUUGUUGUUUGUCUCCAAAAAAAUUUGGAUAAAAUAAUGUUGGGUACUCUGCUGGAAGAAUUAGAAGUAGUGAGCGCUGCUUUGUACUGUAACUGUCAAGCUGCUAUCGUCUGGAUGUUGCAGCCUAUUUGCUUCUUUCUCUUGCUUUGCCAGUUUGAGAUCGCUGGCUAGUAACUAUUGUUCAAUUAGCUUUUUUUUUCUGAGUUUUCAACAGACGAACCUCGUAAUAUCGGCGGUUUCUAAUAGAAAAAUCGGACGGGACCCCUCUUUUUCAAAAAGAAAAACACUAAAAGGCAUUUUUUUUUUGAGGGAACACUAAAAGGCAUGUUAAUUUGUGGAGGAUUAAGAAAAAAAAACACCAAAAGGCAUGUUAGUUUGUGAAGGCAUGCUAGCGAUGACAAGUUCAACCACGUAGACCUCGGGCACGCAACGCCACCGUGCCCCAGCAACCACUGGUCCACUACCAAACCCGAAGCCGGCCUCCGCGCCACGCGUGCUGCUCGCUCACCCAGGCAGGCCACGCACGCCACGACCGCUCUACCACGACACGCCCGCACCGGAUUGACCCUGCGCCAAACAAAGGCCGCCGCACGGAGCGAAGGCAGGCGCCAUGCCCCCUCAGUUGCGCUUCCCCUCCGCCCUCCCCAACCUAUACCCUCACCUCCUCCUCCCCCGCUUCCUCCCCUUCCCCUCCCCUCCCUGCUCCUCUCGCCUUCUCCCCUUCACGCCGCCUCCCAGCCUCAGCAUCUCCAGGUCCCGCCGCCACCCGAUUCACCGCUUCCUGCCCCGAGGCAUGGCCACCGCAGCCGGCGAGGACGCACCGCCCUCCGGGACGAGCGGUUCCGGGGAGGGCGCUGUGCGGCCGCCGCGCCGCACGCUGGAGGAGCUCGCGUGGGACGAGACCUUCGUCCGCGAGCUGCCCGGCGACCCACGGUCCGACAACAUCCCCCGCCAGGUUCGCUCUCGCUCCCUGCCAGCUUCCUCUCGGUUUAAUUGCACGGUUAGCUUCUGUGGUUUCUAGUAUCAUGUCUCGCUAAAUGUUAAUCUGGGAGGAUUUCGCAGGUCUUGCACGCUUGUUACACCAAGGUGUCUCCCUCGGCGCCUGUGGACAACCCUAAGCUGGUGGCGUGGUCCGAGUCCGUGGCUGACCUCCUCGAUCUGGAUCACAAAGAGUGAGUUCCCAAUCCCAAUUACUUACUACAUUAGUUGUCUCACUAGCUUUUUCGACUAUGAUUUCUGCCGGGAAAAUACUCCUGAGAGCAUUGUGGCACCCCCCCUCUGUUGAGUGGUAACCAGCUAGAUAAAACGUGAAGAUGUGCAUACGAUUUUUCCUUUUACAAAUGUGUGCAAGUUGCGGUGAACUCCUGUUGUUACGCUUCAUAGCUAACAAGCUAUAUAGAUAUUCCACUCAUCAUGUGCAGAACUGUUGCAAAGAAUUAGCAUCAUAGAAUUUUGUUAUAUGAUGCACAGAUGAAUGAAAAUGUAGCAUGUAAUAAUAGUUUAGCCUACAACAACGCUAUUCUGUGUAGUAGUUAGAUUGUGUAUUAAUUCCUAUCUUCAGUUGGUAAAGGUGACAAUUCCAAGCAGUUCUCAAAAUUGAGAGUUACAGUAAAUUUUUCCAGAAUGAGCUUACCUCUAAAGAGCUGUAUUUUAUUUAUUUAUGAAGCAAAUGGUUGGCUUAUUUCUCAGGAGUCAAAAAGCCUUUGUUCAGACAUAAACUCACUCCUGUUCCCUGCAUUUCUGAAGUUCUGCACUAAGAAAUUCACCAUCACAAACAUGGGUGUUAAUGGCUCUAGGGCCUGUACGGGGUGACCCUGGACCCAAGAGGCGGCAGCUCCAUGAAGGUAGCCGCACCUCAAGGGCAAGGAUGAAAUGUAUGGGAUAAUUAGAUUUAUUUAUUCUUGACUUGCCUCAUAACGAUUACAGGGGAGCCUUUUAUAGGGGAUACUCGACUUGACAUCCAAGAAACUGAUCUCCACUUCCCUAACAAACCAUAUCUAUUUGUUCCUUGUUUAUUUCUUGCCUAACUAAUUUAGAAGAUACCACUGGGAUAUUGUCCCUUAUUUGGAUACCUAGGGUUGCAAAGGCGUUCUGCAAGGGGCUGCUGCAGGUUGCGCUACCGCCACGGCUGGCUUUAGUUGCUUCUCCCAUAGGGGCAGCGACGGUGAAACCUGCUGCAACGGUGAAGGCAAUGGUGAAGGAGAUGGAAACACCAGCGGCGCUGCAGCUUGUUGGGACGUAGUUGUUGGUGUGGUUGCUUUUCGUUGCUCCACCCUCACAAGGAUGUUGGCACAGAUUACUUGUAAUCUGUCGAGUGUAGCUUCAACCUUGGCCAAAGGAGAGAGCUCCGUGGCAUCAGGAGUAGUGGAGAUUGACUGCUCUGAUAACUAGGUUCAUGCUAGUUCAUGACAUGGAAGAUAAUGGCUCUAGGGCCUGUCCGGAGUGGCCCAGGACCCAAGAGACGCGGCAGCUCCAUGAAGGUAGCCGCACCUCAAGGGCAGGGAGGAAGUGGACGGGAUAAUUAGAUGGAUUUACUCUGACUUGCCUCAUAACGAUUACAGGGCCCCCCUUUGUAUAGGGAACAAAUCCAAGAAACUAAUCUCCAAUUUCCUAACAAACCAUAUCUAAAUAUUCCUAACUUAUCUCUUGCCUAACUAAUUUAGAAGAUACUACUGGGAUAUCCUCCCUUACUUGGAAGCUAGGGUUGCGCCCCCUAUAGGGAUGUACGCCCAUGAUAAAAAAGGGUUAUUGACAAGUUAGUUAACUUAAACAAACCAGAUUGUUUUUAACUAGGUGUUGACAGGAGCCCAAUUUUUUGUCAGAUAAUCCAGUUCAUUACGUAUGCCAUACAUAAAUCUUAUUUUCGUUCAACAUGGAAUACAUUUUUCUUUACUUCCAUACCACAUGAAAAGUGAUCUCACGUUGUGCGUUGCUUUGUUUGCUCCGAAUGCUCAAACUGGUUAUGAAAAAAAAAUUGUACUCCCUCCGUCCGAAAAUAAGUGACUUGCAUUCUUAUACAAAUUCAUGUCACUUGUUUCCGGAUGGAGGGAGUAGUUAAAUGAUUCCAUAGAAGAAAAAAAAUUUAAAUGUGCCUCGACAAAGGAUAGAAUUAAGUUGAGUGAUACAUAUUUAUGGGUUUUACCUUCUGCUGGCUCUCAUCCAUCUCUUUCUGCGUAGAAAUGUGCUCAUUGAACUCACUGUCCAAUGGUAUCCAGUGCUCAUUAACAUUUUUUGUUUCCUUGCUGAUAUUGGAUGAAGAUCACAAUGGCCCUCUGUUUGUUUUCAGAUUUGAAAGACCUGAUUUUCCCCAGUUCUUCUCAGGAGCAACUCCGUUGGUGGGAAGGUGCGUUACACCCAUGCCUAAUAUCUUGCUUUCUGGUUUUGUUCAGAAUAAGUAAUCAACCUCUAAUGAUCAACCACCUGCAGUGUGCCCUAUGCCCAGUGUUAUGGUGGACACCAAUUUGGUUCGUGGGCUGGUCAGUUGGGGGAUGGACGAGCAGUAACUCUGGGAGAGGUUCUCAAUUCUCGAGGUGAGAGAUGGGAGUUGCAGCUCAAGGGUGCUGGGAAGACUCCCUACAGCCGUUUUGCAGACGGCCUUGCUGUCCUGCGCAGCAGCAUCCGUGAAUUCUUAUGCAGUGAAGCUAUGCAUGGUCUAGGCAUUCCUACAACUCGUGCUCUUUGUCUAGUUGAAACUGGCAAAUCUGUUGUGCGAGAUAUGUUCUACGAGUAUGUCAUGAUAUCUUCAGUUUCUAAUCUAUUCAGUUUCUAAUCUACUUUUACCAUUGAGUUCCCCUAUUUAAAUGACCCAUAGGCCAUAGCUGCUGCUUGGUGUUACUUCAGUUUUUAUUGGUAGCUACAUAAUCCAUGUGAACAUCAACAAAUAUAGGGCUCCUUUGAUUCAAAGGAUUUUCAUAGGAAUUUUGGAGGAUUUGAAUCCUUAGGAUUUUUUUCCCAUAUGGGUUGUUUGAUUUGUAGGAUUGAACCCCAUGGGAAAGUUUCCUAAGGAUUCCGUUGCACUACAUUUCAUAGGAUUUUUUCCAUCCACUCCAACCUCCUUUUCAAAUUCCUUUGUUUUUCCUGUGUUCAAUCAAACAAACAUUUGUCUAACCACAAUCCUGCAGGAUUCGAAUGGGUAUGACAUUGCAAUCCUAUGAUUUCCUAUUCCUAUAUUUUUCCUAUCCUGUGAAUCAAAGAGGCCCAUAUAGUUUUAUAAGGGUAUGUUUCAUUCUUGCCCAAAUUUGCCUUACCAAAAUUGCAGAACCUAUGCUUAUUUGGUAUUUGCUUGGUUGGUUACUUGAUUGCCAAAAUUUUGGUUGCCUGUGGAAUCUAGUCCACAACCUCACAUUACCCUCACAAUUCUCACCAAACUUUUGGCCAACCAAGGGCCAAGGAAACAUUAACCAAUUUUUUGGCUGGCCAAUGGUUAGCACAAAUUGGUAGGGCAUUAAUUGGCACAAACCAAGCAUACCCUAACUCCCAUUUUCCUUCUGUUUGCCUAUUUAUAGUUUCCUUAACCAAUAAUUACUUCAUCUAGUCAUCCUGAUUUAUGAUCAUCCAUUGGAGGUCUCAGGGUUACUCUAACAAACUACAGCCUCUGGGACCUUGGACAAGUUACUUGAUUGUUCUGCAAAUGUAGCCAAGCAUCCUGUACCUACUUUCAUCAGUGUUUACUGUGCUGUAGAAAAUAAUUGGCUGUUAUUCCUCCAGUAUUUAUUAUCCAAAUAUAGAAAACUAGAACAUCGUGCCAUGAUCUUUCUUUUGACGGGUUUCAGUAUGUACACUUUAUGGACAUCCCUUCUGUUGUUAAAUGAUUUGUAUUUUAAUAUGACAGUGGGAAUUCAAAAGAGGAGCCUGGUGCAAUUGUUUGUCGUGUAGCACCGUCGUUUUUACGUUUUGGUUCAUACCAAAUACAUGCUACAAGGGGCAAAGAGGACCUUGAAAUUGUUCGUCAUUUGGUAGAUUACACAAUACGUCAUCACUACCCACAUCUUGAAAGUAUUAAAAAGAGUGAAGGUUUAUCUUUCGAGGCAGCUAUAGGAGAUUCUCCAGCAAUAGAUCUUACGUCCAACAAAUAUGCAGGUAAAUUUCUUGAAUGUCAGCUUCUUUGAAUAUCCUUAUUGAUCUAGUUAAUAACGAUCUUCCCCCUUUGCAAUUCCUGAUAACAGCCUGGGCAGUUGAGGUUGCAGAGCGCACUGCUUACUUAAUUGCCAGGUGGCAAGGUGUUGGUUUCACUCAUGGUGUACUCAACACUGAUAAUAUGAGUGUGCUGGGCCUAACUAUUGAUUAUGGACCCUUUGGUUUCUUGGAUGCUUUUGAUCCUAGCUUUACUCCGAAUACCACUGAUCUCCCUGGGAAGAGAUACUGUUUCGCAAAUCAACCUGAUGUUGGCUUGUGGAAUAUUGCUCAGUUCACUGGGCCCCUGUCAUCUGCUGGACUUAUCAACAAAGAUGAGGCAAAUUAUGUAAUGGAGAGGUGAAUUUGUUCUUCCAAUCUAUACAGGUUAUGUGUGAUACUAAACCCUUUAUGAUGGCAUUCUGAUACUUCUAUAUUGUAGGUAUGGGACAAAAUUCAUGGAUGAAUACCAAUCUAUAAUGACAAGGAAACUUGGUCUAUCUAAAUAUAAUAAGCAGCUUAUUAGCAAGCUGCUUAACAACUUGGCUGUUGAUAAGGUUGACUACACAAAUUUUUUCCGUCUUCUUUCGAAUGUCAAAGCAGAUCCUGACAUUCCAGAGAAUGAGCUACUUGUUCCAAUAAAGGCUGCACUCCUAGAUAUUGGAAAAGAAAGAAAGGAAGCAUGGAUUAGCUGGGUACAGACAUAUAUUGAGGAGGUAUGAUAUCUUCUGCUAAUUGUUAUCUUUCUCUAUUGUAUUUUAUAAGUGACUGUCUAGAGUGACUUGAUGAUACAUCGACCAUAAUAUCAUCAUCCUUUAAUCUUCUGGUGCCUAGCUGCUUGUUUCUCAGCCCCUGCCAUUUGUGAUGUUGGAAUACUUUUUCAAAAAUACAAGCUAGAGUACUUUUUGUAAGCGAAAGCAACAUUAUAAGGCAUUGUGUUCUCUGGGUACAGGUGCAAAAAGGUGAGGAUACCGUCCAACCCUUCUUAGUUCAAGCAAAUGGAUUAAAAUUUUAAAAUCACAUCAGUUUUGUGUAAAACUAGUUCAUUUGUUUGAGCUAAGGAGGGUUGGAGGCGCAGGGUCAUCUUUUUGCACCUCUUAUCUCCAGGAUUUAUAUCAGCAUCUGCGCAUUUUGUGGUACCAUAUGAAAACUGCAUUUGAUGCUAUGUACUGAAAUCUCGUCAUUUUGGUCUUGUAUCAUAUGUCAUCGAAGUUGUCACCUGCAUGGCCGCAGCUCAAAGAAGAUUUUAUUAUUAGCUGCCUCCUGUUCCUGUUGCCACACAGUUGCCAGCAAUCCCACUAUUCAAUAAUUUUGUGCCAUUAUUUUGUUUCCACCUCUAGCCAUGUUUUAUUAUUAGUUUUAAAAUAUCUGUCGAAUUAUUCAUUAAAGUACCAACAUACUGUUUAGAGAGGAGUAUCUGUUAUCUGAACAUACUCAAUUUAAUGAUGUGUCUGCUUUGUGAAGCUGGUGGCUAGUGGCAUCUCUGAUGAAGAAAGGAAAACUUCAAUGAAUCAAGUCAAUCCGAAGUAUGUUCUUCGGAACUAUCUCUGCCAGACUGCGAUUGAUGCGGCCGAUCUAGGUGAUUAUGAGGAAGUUCGUCGCCUAUUGAAAGUUAUGGAACGUCCAUAUGAUGAGCAGCCAGGAAUGGAAAAAUAUGCCAGGUUGCCGCCAGCCUGGGCAUAUAGGCCUGGAGUGUGUAUGCUGUCUUGCUCUUCAUAAACCCAACACCCAGCUAUGGAAAUACAGUGUUGUAUAAUUUUUGGCUGUAUAUGAGGUUCACCUGUAAGCUGUAGUGUUUGAAGCACCACAUGUUUUACUGAUGUGGGGCAAUCUCAGAACUUUAGUUGUGAUGUUACUUUACAGAGUUAUAUGCGCAUUUAGGAAAUGGAGCAAUCGGCCGCCCCUUAUUCGUAAUUUUUUAAAUAUCAGGCAUAUGCUGUCGAGAUACUUUAAACUGACGAGAUAGUACCCUGUCGAUCUUGUUCUAUCCAGCAAGACGAAGGUGAUAGGUCCAAAUCGUUCAAUAGUGUGUAAUUGCGCUGCAAUAGGCACAACAGACCGUCUUGUAAAUAGAUUCAUUUACACGGGACGGUCCUCAUGAUUUCCACCUCCCGGAACCGAGCCGCAAGCAGCAUCCGCCAGGGGUCAUUCUGGUUGAUCGGGUGAGAAUGAAAAGUGGGAAAGCUAAAAAAGCUUAAAAAAAUGUACUACCUUCGUUCCAUAAAGAUUGGCGUCGCUUUUGAACCGUACGAUUUAGGAGAUUGGCGUGGCUUUUGAAUUAGGAGAUUGGCGUCGCUUUUGAACAGUACGAUUUAGGAGAUUGGCGUGGCUUUUGAAUUAGUAUGAUUUAGGAUGGAGUUUGAGAGAAAAGGUGUCGUAGUUGAUUCGGUAAAAGUGUAGAACUUACUAACCCACACAAAGGAAGUCCUAGCCCGGCUAGGAAAUGGUCGAGCAGGGCUGAGCCCAGAUGCGACGACCCCGAGGUAAGGUGACCAAAUGGAUAUAACCUAGUUUUAGACGCCUUUGCGAAGUGACCGUGUUGGCACCAGACAUUGGCCACUCGCCACCAUAUAAUAGCAGUCGCCACCAUAUAAUAGCAGGGAAUGAUGCGAGGGUGGCUCCACUUCACGAAAUAGGAUCUGCACGAGCACGAAAAUUAGCGCCACCUAAGAAAUACGGUGAUGGACACCGACUCCAACCAACGAGGCUCUUGGAUACCUAGCUGUGAACAGCGAUAGUGCAAUCUGCAACAAGUAUUUGACCAACCACAAAGUUUCCAAUCCACACAACCGUACACACGAAGAGGAUGCCGUCGAACGACCGCUUCUGCAAUCUCACAAGGUCAGUUGGAGCAAAGGGAUAGAGAACUCUCAAACAUGAUUUGAGUUGCUCAUAACUAACCUAUUCUACAAUUUACCAAAGAGUUUGUGGCUGAGAUGGGUUAAGGGGUAUUUAUAAUAUGAACAACGCUCCUACUUUAGGUGUGAAAUCAGUCCAAAAUGGGAGCUCAAAUGGGUGGCAAUCAGGUUGGAGUGCGGCCAAAGACAUGGAAUCACACGCAACAAUUAAUGUCCUUGACAGGUUGCAUUGUAACUCUCAUAUCUUUUGAUCAAAUGACGUGCCGUUUGAUUUCCUGAAAGUAGACUUCAUAUGUUGUCCACUUGACCCACCAAAUGUGCUUGACACAUCCAUAAUCACUGUGGCAUGGUGCAAUAAGGUCAGAAAUGAUUUUUGGUGCUUGCAUCGUUUUGAUGAUUUUUCUUUUUGACCCGAAAAAUAGCAGGAGAGGCUCCUACCGUGCUUAAUUAAAUAAAAAAAAAUAUAGUUACAAAGUUACGUGGGCUAUAAAGAUCAUCCCAACAGGGGCUGAAAAGAAGAAUUUCUGACUUCACCUGAGCACAAGUAGCACACUAGAUUUAGAUUAGCAUAAAUUCUCAUUGAUGUUAUUAUUACGAUCAGCAAGGAGCGAAUUCGUCUCUUGUUGUAUUUUCUUAACAUGGCUCCUUGUCAUAGGUCUUCUUUGUAGAUGUUUCAACCUUUAGUCGUGAUUCUUCGUGAGGAGAACAUGAUAGAACGAGAUGAACCAAGAAUGUCCUCAAAAGUCCAAAGGUUAAAAGGAGACUGCGGGGGCAAACAUGGAAGGAUGGUGAAACACCAAGCAGUAUCUCUGGUCUUUACUUACCUAUAGGGUAUUGUAGUGGGAACGAUAACCAAGGAGGUGCUUGCCGGUUUGCCCGCUUUGCUCGGAAGGACGUUUCAACAAGCCGGGACAAAAAGAUUUGCGGGUAUAUAUGCUAGUCGCGAGCUUAACUCGGGCUGACCAUUAGGCUACCUGAAGAGACAUACCUUGCGCGACAUGAAGUACUACGAGGAUGCAUCGAAAUAACCGUCAUCCCGUGCAUAUAAAUGCUGGGCAGGCCGCAGGGGUCCGCAAGAAGAGGAGAGUAAUCAAGCUAUUCCAAAGCCUACAAUUUACAGCAAAUCCAAACCCGGCAAGUCCAGCUACCUCAUAUUGUGAACACAUUUGUGCUCCGAGUUCCUGAUAAUAUAAAAAAGGUAGAAGAGGGCUAUUAUCCAAUCUAAGUGGGCCUGAAACCUGGGUAAAUCAUGUUGCAUCUACUCGGCACCUGAGGUUUCUCACACAUUCAGACAAAUUAUGUAUGAGGACCGUACCGUAACAAGAAAGCAAUAUUUCAUUCGUCGAAGGCUCUGCCCGCCCCCCCACCCCCCAAGACCAAAGUUCAUAAUUUUGCCCACUACCUCCGUCCCUGCUAGUUGACAUCUGGACCGUAUUUAAGGUUUUUGUUGAUUUUAUCGUUGCCAUGUAAGAUUCAUGUUCCGGUAUAUAAGAGGUUUAUCAUACAAUUCCGAAGACUUAAAAUGUGAACUAGUAUGCUGUCCUGUAACUCACAAUGCAGAGACGUUACUGAAAGCAGAGAAUGACCGAGGCAACUUUCACCUCGAUCACCAAUCAUCACGCAAGUCUAACUACAGACCAAUUUAGUUUUGAUACAGAUUAUAUUGAUGCAUUCAAAACAGUAGCCGCUACUUAAGCUUUACACAUUACAAAGGCUGCCGGCCGGAGAUCGAGCCGACGUUGUUGUACAGUUUCCCUGCACACGCACGGAGGCGUACGUGCAGGCAGGAUAAUGAACCAAUCACUUGAUCAGCUUCUCCCUCUCAUCUCUCUCUGAACUUAGCUCAAGGGCCAUAGAUGUUCCUAGGAACGACGAUGUCGCCGAUGUUGUUGUGCCACGGGUCCGCCAGGUGCGCGCCCAGGUUCUCCAGCGGGCCGGUGCCGGGGUACGCCGACUGCUGCACGCAGAAGCCCACGAACGCCAGCAUCGCCAGCCGCCCUGCAUCAUCAUCAGAGACAAGAUCAUACUACAUCAGCACCGAACGCUACACGCACUGCAGAUGGUUAAGAUUCAGGGGAUGGCACGUACCGUUCUUGAUCUCCUUGAGCUUGAGCUCCUCGAACUUGGCCGGGUCCUUGGAGAAUCCCAGCGGGUCGAAGGCGCCGCCGGGGUACUUCUUCUUCUCCGGGUCCUUCUCCAUGGUGCGCUGCUGCUCCGCGAAGGCGAUGGCCAGGAACUCGAUGGCCAGGAUGGUCGGCAGGUUGCCCCACGGCACGGGCACGCCGAAGUAGGUCGCCUGCCCGUCGGGGAGCGCCGCCCAUUCCUGCGCCUUCACCCAGUUCCCCAGCCCCAGCGCCUCCGGCACCAACACCCCUGGCUGCACGCCAACACGCACGGUUUAUCACUAGCGAACAGCUUGAAAAGUGAUGCAGAGGAGAGCAGAGGAGCACGGUUACGUACCACGCAGAGCAUGGCCCAGCGGCAGUGGUAGAUCUCGGACUCCUUGAACCGCUCGAAGUUCUCCGGUACGGUGGCGAGGCCGAGGGGGUCGAACCCGAAGUCGCUGAGAGUUAACAAAGGCAAGAGUUAAUCACCGGUCAGAUAUACCCCUCCGUCUCACCGUCUCAUGUCAAGUGAAUUUCUAUUGCAUGUAUCUGUGUAGAUACAUUUGGACAAAUUUAAGUCACUUAAUAUGGGACACAGCGAGUACAUGUUUUGGAUUUAGUAUGGCAAAUGGAUGCUUACCCGGGCGAGGAGCCGUCGAGGUGGGCAGGGCGGGGCUGGCCGGGGAACCACUCGGCGGACAUGGUGACCCGGCCGGAGGUGGUGGCGAAGGCGCAGAACGGCAGGCCCGAGCGGCCGGACCGGGACGAAGGCGCCAGCAGGCUGGGCACGCCCACGGCGCUGCAGCUCCUCAGCCCGCUCGACGACGCCAUCGACAUUGCUGCUAGCUCGAUGCUACCCAGUUAGUUUCAGUUCUUGCUGCGCUCUCCGGCAACAACAACAAGAAGAGGGGAGGAUCAGGCGUCC
rnacentral:lncRNA from 1 species